CCUACGGGCGGCUGCAGUAGGGAAUCUUCGGCAAUGGGGGGAACCCUGACCGAGCAACGCCGCGUGAGUGAAGAAGGUUUUCGGAUCGUAAAGCUCUGUUGUAAGAGAAGAACGAGAGUGAGAGUGGAAAGUUCACACUGUGACGGUACCUUACCAGAAAGGGACGGCUAACUACGUGCCAGCAGCCGCGGUAAUACGUAGGUCCCGAGCGUUAUCCGGAUUUAUUGGGCGUAAAGCGGGCGCAGGCGGUUAGAUGGGUCUAGUGUGAAAGGCUGGGGGUGAACCAUAGUACGCUUUGGAAACUGUCGUACUUGAGUGCAGAAGGGGAGAGUGGAAUUCCGUGUGUAGCGGUGAAAUGCGUAGAUAUAUGGAGGAACACCGGUGGCGAAGGCGGCUCUCUGGUCUGUAACUGACGCUGAGGCUCGAAAGCGUGGGGAGCAAACAGGAUUAGAUACCCCAGUAGUC
rnacentral:rRNA from 1 species